CAGUGCCCCAUAAAUGGGCGGCGCGCAUCGUCAGGCCAAAAGUACAGUACUGUACUUGAAGUGCAGCUCCCGCGGGACACUUGCACGAUGUGCGCAGAGAAGUUGGCCAAAACGCAGACGAUCGACCUGAGGAGGAAACUCAUUGGGCCAUCGUGCAAAAUCUUCUUCAGCGAUAACCCCAUUAAGAUGGUGCGCGCCAGGGGUCAGUACAUGUACGACGAGAGGGGUCAACGGUACCUGGACUGCAUCAACAAUGUGGCGCACGUGGGUCACUGCCACCCAGAUGUGGUUUUGGCUGGCGCGCAGCAGAUGGAAACGCUCAACACCAACUCGCGCUUCCUGCACGACAACUUGGUACUGUAUGCCCAGAGGCUGCAAGCCACCUUGCCCGCCCGGCUCUCCGUCUUCUACUUUGUGAACUCUGGAUCGGAAGCCAACGACCUGGCGCUCCGCCUCGCCCGCCAGUACUCGGGCAGCCAAGACAUCAUCACCCUGGACAACGCCUAUCACGGCCACGUGACGUCGCUUAUUGAAAUCAGCCCCUACAAGUUGCACCAUCUGGCAGACGCGCCGCUGAAGCCAUUUGUCCACGUGGCCUUGAGCCCGGACGUCUACCGAGGCAAAUACAAACGGGACCACCCUGAUCCUGCCAAAGCAUACGCCGAUGAAGUCCGAGAUAUCAUCGCGCGAGUGCAAAGUCGAGGAGGCAAGAUUGCCGCUUUUAUUGCCGAGUCACUGCAAAGUUGCGGCGGGCAGGUCAUCCCCCCUGCGGGAUACUUUCAGCAAGUGGCUGAGCACGUCCGGAAGGCAGGCGGACUCUUUAUCGCCGACGAAGUCCAGGUGGGCUUCGGACGGGUCGGCAGCCACUUCUGGGCGUUCCAGCUGCAGGGCGACGACUUUGUGCCCGACAUUGUCACCAUGGGCAAGCCCAUCGGCAACGGGCAUCCCAUGUCGUGCGUUGUCACCAGCAGGGAGGUGGCCGAGGCCUUCAUGUCGUCGGGAAAUGAGUAUUUCAACACGUUCGGAGGCAAUCCAGUGUCGUGCGCUAUUGGCCUGGCUGUCCUCGACGUGAUCGCCAAGGAGGACCUGCAGGGUAAAGCCUUGCGAGUCGGAGGUUACCUGACCUCGCUGCUGGAAAAACAAAAAGAGAAGCACCCGCUUAUCGGUGACAUCAGGGGUCGGGGCCUGUUCGUGGGAGUGGAACUCGUGAGGGACAGGUCAACGCUCACACCCGCAACGGCGGAGGCCCAAGAGGUCAUAUAUCGUUUGAAAGACGAGCGCGUGCUGCUCAGCGCCGACGGGCCGCACCGCAACGUGCUCAAGUUCAAGCCCCCCAUGUGCUUCAACACUGAUGACGCCGACUUUGUGGUGGAUAAAAUGGAUGCCAUUCUCACAGAAAUUGAAGCAGCCACCGGUUUGAACACCACCAACGCAGUGAAUGGUAAGAAUGACGUCAAUAAAAGAAAGGGCUACUAUCAAAAGAAAGCUCAUUUCAUACAUAGCGGGAAGUACUUCUAACCAUCAACACAACAAUCUUCAACAGUGAAGCAACUGAGGGGUGGGGCGGGGGGUUGUUAAUAAAUUAAAGGUAACACAGUUUUCUUUGCAUAAGGUCGCGCAGGAUAAACACGCUUUGCAUCGCCAUCGCAGCAGCUUGGGAAACAAGGUGUCAAGGCAUCGUGUGACUGAGCAAGCAAAAAAAAAAGGAUAAAUAUGGUAUUUUGAGGACUUGACCUAGUCAAGUACGCAACACGAGAAAUGCAAGUUAACAUGAGCCGUGCGCUGACUUGUUGGUGCUGAAGGAGUUGAUCUCGACAGGACAUUUUAGGACAUCAGCUUAAAGAAU